GACGAACGCUGGCGGCGUGCUUAACACAUGCAAGUCGAACGGAAAGGCCCUGCUUUUGUGGGGUGCUCGAGUGGCGAACGGGUGAGUAACACGUGAGUAACCUGCCCUUGACUUUGGGAUAACUUCAGGAAACUGGGGCUAAUACCGGAUAGGAGCUCCUGCUGCAUGGUGGGGGUUGGAAAGUUUCGGCGGUUGGGGAUGGACUCGCGGCUUAUCAGCUUGUUGGUGGGGUAGUGGCUUACCAAGGCUUUGACGGGUAGCCGGCCUGAGAGGGUGACCGGCCACAUUGGGACUGAGAUACGGCCCAGACUCCUACGGGAGGCAGUAGUGGGGAAUAUUGCACAAUGGGCGGAAACCUGAUGCAGCAACGCCGCGUGCGGGAUGACGGCCUUCGGGUUGUAAACCGCUUUCGCCUGUGACGAAGCGUGAGUGACGGUAAUGGGUAAAGAAGCACCGGCUAACUACGUG
rnacentral:rRNA from 1 species